rnacentral:lncRNA from 1 species
UCGUUUUUUAGAUCUGUUUUGCUGGUGCUUAAAAUUUGACAUGCCUGAAUGAACUCAUUCUUAUAGUUCUUUUUAUUUCUAUGAUCAAUUUAAUUAAAGUUUCACAUGUUAGUAUACUAUACAUUAAAAAAUCCUAGCUAGUGAGAAUAUUUUAGUCACUCCAUAAACACAUAUUGGUUAGUGUUAGUCAUACUAUUUACGUGUUGUGUUUUCCACAAUAACAUGAUUAAUUAGGUUCCAUCCUUAGCUUAAAGGUCUUCUUCCAAAGGUUCUCAUCGAUUAGUACCGCCAACCUGUACAUAUUAUACUAUUUUUUUACUAUUUUGUUCCCUCAUUGGCUACUAUUUUGUUCUUAUUUUUUGCAUAGGUGAAAUGUGAAGCCAAGCGUGAAGUCGUGAAGCCUAUAUGCAAAGAGUAGCAUAUCAUGUAUUGUAAUAGUAGACUGUAGUAGGCAUAUUUGAGUUGUAGUAGUGUAAAGAUUGUAAUAGACUAAUUUAGUGUUUCUUUGGACGAAUUUUAUUUGUUCUGCGAUCUGUUCGAAAUAUUGAUUUCGUAUGUGAUUUGUAUACCUAUGAAAUGGAAACCUCACAAAUUGUUUGACAAAUUACAA